rnacentral:rRNA from 1 species
GAAUUUAAUAUAAAAUUUUUAUUGAUAUUUUUAUUUUUAAUUAUAAAAAUUUUAUAUUUAAUUGGGAGGAUAGUUAAAUUUAAAUAACUUUAAUUAAGAUAUAAAAUAUUAAUUAAUAAAUUAAAGAAUGAUAAUUUUAAAUAGUUAAAAAAAUUAAUUACCUUAGGGAUAACAGCAUAAUAUUUUUGGAAAGAUCAUAUUUAUAAAAAUGUUUGU